rnacentral:rRNA from 1 species
AUUGAACGCUGGCGGCAGGCCUAACACAUGCAAGUCGAACGGUAGCACAGAGAGCUUGCUCUCGGGUGACGAGUGGCGGACGGGUGAGUAACGUCAGGGAAACUGCCCGAUGGAGGGGGAUAACUACUGGAAACGGUAGCUAAUACCGCAUAACGUCGCAAGACCAAAGUGGGGGACCUUCGGGCCUCACACCAUCGGAUGUGCCCAGAUGGGAUUAGCUAGUAGGUGGGGUAAUGGCUCACCUAGGCGACGGUCCCUAGCUGGUCUGAGAGGAUGACCAGCCACACUGGAACUGAGACACGGUCCAGACUCCUACAGGAGGCAGCAGUGGGGAAUAUUGCACAAUGGGCGCAAGCCUGAUGCAGCCAUGCCGCGUGUAUGAAGAAGGCCUUCGGGUUGUAAAGUACUUUCAGCGGGGAGGAAGGCGGUGAAGUUAAUAGCUUCACCGAUUGACGUUACCCGCAGAAGAAGCACCGGCUAACUCCGUGCCAGCAGCCGCCGUAA